CAUUAAUGAAACUUCAAAGUCGGCUUGUCAUCUGUGCUGGUGGAGACACAUGUGCACGUUGCAAGUCGCAAAUCCCACACACCUGUGCACCUAUGACUCUGAGUACCGCUUUGCAUGGGCCCCUCAAAGGCCCUGGUACUCGAGUACUUUUACACACUCUGAAUGUAAUGGAAUGUCUAUUGUACAAUGUACAACCAAAACAACUUUCAACAACGGAUCUCUUGGCUCUCGCAUCGAUGAAGAACGCAGCGAAAUGCGAUAAGUAAUGUGAAUUGCAGAAUUCAGUGAAUCAUCGAAUCUUUGAACGCACCUUGCACCCUUUGGUAUUCCGAAGGGUACACCCGUUUGAGUGUCAUUGUAAUCUCACCCCCUUGACUUUUUUGUUGAUCGGUGUGGACUUGGAUGUUGCCGUGUAACAAACGGCUCGUCUGAAAUGCCUGAGUGUACCCUGCUUUGCGGCGUAUUUGGUGUGAUAAAUCUUUACCGGAGUUGACUUUUUCGAGUCGCGCUUGUACCUGUGGGCUCUCUAUGCUUCCAAACAGUCCUGACAAGGACAAUCUUUGACAAUUUGACCUCAAAUCGGGUGGGACUACCCGCUGAACUU
rnacentral:rRNA from 1 species